CUGAGCCCUACCCCCUACCCAUUGAAUCAGAAAUUCUGGGGUUGGAGUUCAGCAAUCUGUGGCUGCACAAGUCUUCCAGGUGAUUCUGAUGCUUGUUAAAGCUUAACUAGCACUGAAUUAGGAUGAAAGGAAGGAAUCUUAGGCUUGGCCAUCUCUUGAAGAGCAGAUGUAGUGAGAGAACUUGAAGGUCUGGUAUCCUUUGUUGCUAAAGAUUUUCAGACCAUAACUAGCUCAGCUUUGAGACUUGAAAAUGUCAAGGAACUAACCACUAGUGUAUUGGUGAUGGUCAUCCACGGAUAGGUUUAAACGUCUCAGGAUUAGGUCAGGAUUUGGCAUGGUGAGAAGAUGUCUACAACACACGUCUAGGUCUUCAGUGAUUGUAGGAGAUAGAAAAUGGUAACCUCAAGUGGCAUAAACUUUGAUGCAGUUUGUGCAGCACCAGGGAGUCAGGUGAAUCCUGGCCCCAACCCCUGCGUCCUGUCUCGGGGAGUGUGGGAGAAAUGGCAGCCUCCACCAGAGAUGGAAGUCAGAAAACGCACACCUUUGGGAGAAGGAUUGCUUUGGCUAUUUGGGGCUCCCAAAUCACUACAGAUGGUGACUGCA